rnacentral:rRNA from 1 species
CCGGCACGGGUGGAGGUAACACGUAUCCAACCUGCCGUCUACUCUUGGACAGCCUUCUGAAAGGAAGAAUUAAUACAAGAUGGCAUCAUGAGUUCACAUGUUCACAUGAUUAAAGGUAUUCCGGUAGACGAUGGGGAUGCGUUCCAUUAGAUAGUAGGCGGGGUAACGGCCCACCUAGUCUUCGAUGGAUAGGGGUUCUGAGAGGAAGGUCCCCCACAUUGGAACUGAGACACGGUCCAA